CGUACACUCCUACGGGAGGCAGCAGUGGGGAAUAUUGCACAAUGGGCGCAAGCCUGAUGCAGCCAUGCCGCGUGUAUGAAGAAGGCCUUCGGGUUGUAAAGUACUUUCAGCGGGGAGGAAGGCGAUAAGGUUAAUAACCUUGUUGAUUGACGUUACCCGCAGAAGAAGCACCGGCUAACUCCGUGCCAGCAGCCGCGGUAAUACGGAGGGUGCAAGCGUUAAUCGGAAUUACUGGGCGUAAAGCGCACGCAGGCGGUCUGUCAAGUCGGAUGUGAAAUCCCCGGGCUCAACCUGGGAACUGCAUUCGAAACUGGCAGGCUAGAGUCUUGUAGAGGGGGGUAGAAUUCCAGGUGUAGCGGUGAAAUGCGUAGAGAUCUGGAGGAAUACCGGUGGCGAAGGCGGCCCCCUGGACAAAGACUGACGCUCAGGUGCGAAAGCGUGGGGAGCAAACAGGAUUAGAAACCCCAGUAGUCC
rnacentral:rRNA from 1 species